rnacentral:rRNA from 1 species
CGGGGGGACUCGCAAGAGCCUCGCGCGAUUGGAGCGGCCGAUAUCAGAUUAGGUAGUUGGUGAGGUAAAGGCUCACCAAGCCGACGAUCUGUAGCUGGUCUGAGAGGACGACCAGCCACACUGGGACUGAGACACGGCCCAGACUCCUACGGGAGGCAGCAGUGGGGAAUUUUGGACAAUGGGCGCAAGCCUGAUCCAGCAAUGCCGCGUGCAGGAUGAAGGCCUUCGGGUUGUAAACUGCUUUUGUACGGAACGAAACGGUGAGCUCUAAUACAGUUUGCUAAUGACGGUACCGUAAGAAUAAGCACCGGCUAACUACGUG